GAUGAAGAACGUAGCGAAAUGCGAUACGUAAUGUGAAUUGCAGAAUUCAGUGAAUCAUCGAAUCUUUGAACGCACAUUGCGCCCGCUAGUAUUCUGGCGGGCAUGCCUGUCCGAGCGUCAUUUCAACCCUCAAGCCCCUGGGCUUGGUGUUGGGGAUCGGCGAGCCUCCGCGCCCGCCGUCCCCUAAAUCUAGUGGCGGUCUCGCUGUAGCUUCCUCUGCGUAGUAGCAACACUCGCACUGGAUCGCAGCGCGGCCACGCCGUUAAACCCCCCACUUCUGAAAGUUUGACCUCGGAUCAGGUAGGAAUACCCGCUGAACUUAAGCAUAUCAAUAAGCGGAGGA
rnacentral:misc_RNA from 1 species